rnacentral:lncRNA from 1 species
GCCAGUUUCUCAGUCCAGCUCAUAAGACAGUUCUGUGCUUUCUCAGAACAUUUCUACACCAACUAUGGGAGCUUUUAUAGAUCUCAGCACCAAAGCCAAGAUGCCCAUUGUGGGCCUGGGGACCUGGCAGAAUGAGAAUGAGGUGGGAGAAGCCAUCCAAGAGAAGAUUCAAGAGAAAGUUGUCAAGCGGGAGGA